rnacentral:tRNA from 1 species
GGAGGUGUAGUUCAGUGGUAGAACACAUGCUUAACAUGCACAAAGCCCUUGGGUUUGAUCCCCAGCACCAACCA